AUUGAACGCUGGCGGCAGGCCUAACACAUGCAAGUCGAACGAGUGGCGGACGGGUGAGUAAUGUCUGGGAAACUGCCCGAUGGAGGGGGAUAACUCCUGGAAACGGUAGCUAAUACCGCAUACUAUCGGAUGUGCCCAGAUGGGAUUAGCUAGUAGGUAGGGUAACGGCUCACCUAGGCGACGAUCCCUAGCUGGUUUGAGAGGAUGACCAGCCACACGGGAACUGAGAAACGGUCCAGACUCCUACGGGAGGCAGCAGUGGGGAAUAUUGCACAAAUGGCGCAAGCCUGAUGCAGCCAUGCCGCGUGUAUAAAGAAGGCCUUCGGGUUGUAAAGUACUUUAAGCGAGGAGGCGUUACUCGCAGAAGAAGGACCGGCUAACUCCGUGCCAGCAGCCGCGGUAAUAC
rnacentral:rRNA from 1 species